GGGGAUAACACUUGGAAACAGGUGCUAAUACCGUAUAACACUAUUUUCCGCAUGGAAGAAAGUUGAAAGGCGCUUUUGCGCCACUGAUGGACGGACCCGCGGUGCAUUAGCUAGUUGGUGAGGUAACGGCUCACCAAGGCCACGAUGCAUAGCCGACCUGAGAGGGUGAUCGGCCACACUGGGACUGAGACACGGCCCAGACUCCUACGGGAGGCAGCAGUAGGGAAUCUUCGGCAAUGGACGAAAGUCUGACCGAGCAACGCCGCGUGAGUGAAGAAGGUUUUCGGAUCGUAAAACUCUGUUGUUAGAGAAGAACAAGGAUGAGAGUAAAACGUUCAUCCCUUGACGGUAUCUAACCAGAAAGCCACGGCUAACUACGUGCCAGCAGCCGCGGUAAUACGUAGGUGGCAAGCGUUGUCCGGAUUUAUUGGGCGUAAAGCGAGCGCAGGCGGUUUCUUAAGUCUGAUGUGAAAGCCCCCGGCUCAACCGGGGAGGGUCAUUGGAAACUGGGAGACUUGAGUGCAGAAGAGGAGAGUGGAAUUCCAUGUGUAGCGGUGAAAUGCGUAGAUAUAUGGAGGAACACCAGUGGCGAAGGCGGCUCUCUGGUCUGUAACUGACGCUGAGGCUCGAAAGCGUGGGGAGCGAACAGGAUUAGAUACCCUGGUAGUCCACGCCGUAAACGAUGAGUGCUAAGUGUUGGAGGGUUUCCGCCCUUCAGUGCUGCAG
rnacentral:rRNA from 1 species